rnacentral:rRNA from 1 species
CUGGGCUCGAACGGCUUUCGACGACCCUGGAAACAGGGUUUCUAUGGAGCUUGCUCUAUGGCGGGAGUCGAGGUGCUGCAUGGCUGUCGUCAGCUCGUGCCGUGAGGUGUUCGGUUAAGUCCGGCAACGAGCGCAACCCCUGCCCUUAGUUACCAGCGGGUUAUGCCGGGGACUCUAAGGGGACUGCCCUGGUUAACGGGGAGGAAGGUGGGGACGACGUCAAGUCAUCACGGCCUUUAUGUCCAGGGCUACACACGUGCUACAAUGGCAGGUACAAAGAGCUGCAAACCCGCGAGGGGGAGCGAAUCUCAAAAAGCCUGUCUCAGUUCGGAUUGCAGUCUGCAACUCGACUGCAUGAAGCCGGAAUCGCUAGUAAUCGCGGAUCAGCACGCCGCGGUGAAUACGUUCCC